GAUGAACGCUGGCGGCGUGCCUAAUACAUGCAAGUAGAACGCUGAAGCUUGGUGCUUGCACCGAGCGGAUGAGUUGCGAACGGGUGAGUAACGCGUAGGUAACCUGCCUCUUAGCGGGGGAUAACUAUUGGAAACGAUAGCUAAUACCGCAUAAAAGUCGAUAUCGCAUGAUAUUGAUUUGAAAGGUGCAAAUGCAUCACUAAGAGAUGGACCUGCGUUGUAUUAGCUAGUUGGUGAGGUAACGGCUCACCAAGGCGAGGAUACAUAGCCGACCUGAGAGGGUGGGCGGCCACACUGGGACUGAGACACGGCCCAGACUCCUACGGGAGGCAGCAGAAGGGAAUCUGCGGCAAUGGGGGCAACCCUGACCGAGCAACGCCGCGGGAGUGAAGAAGGUUUUCGGAUCGUAAAGCUCUGUUGUAAGAGAAGAACGAGUGUGAGAGUGGAAAGUUCACACUGUGACGGUAACUUACCAGAAAGGGACGGCUAACUACGUG
rnacentral:rRNA from 1 species